AGUUAACUACCGAGGAGAAUGUUAUAAGAUCAGAACUUCAUAGGAGUUUCCAAAACUUCAUUGUUGCGUUUUUAAUUUUUGAAGGUGCGAUUUUGAGUCAUUUGAAGCCAUUAGAAGCCAAUUUUAAUCACAAAAACAAAUAUGUCUCAGAAUCAGAAUCAGGGUAACGUUCACGAUGAUGAGACGAAAAAAGAAAAGUCACCUAUGACAUGGCAUGGAAUUGUUUGCGAUGGUUCCG